AUUGAACGCUGGCGGCAUGCUUUACACAUGCAAGUCGAACGGUAACAGGGAGCUUGCUCCGCUGACGAGUGGCGAACGGGUGAGUAAUGCAUCGGAACGUACCCAGUCGUGGGGGAUAACGUAGCGAAAGUUACGCUAAUACCGCAUACGUCCUGAGGGAGAAAGCGGGGGACCGUAAGGCCUCGCGCGAUUGGAGCGGCCGAUGUCGGAUUAGCUAGUUGGUAGGGUAAAGGCCUACCAAGGCGACGAUCCGUAGCGGGUCUGAGAGGAUGAUCCGCCACACUGGGACUGAGACACGGCCCAGACUCCUACGGGAGGCAGCAGUGGGGAAUUUUGGACAAUGGGCGAAAGCCUGAUCCAGCCAUGCCGCGUGAGUGAAGAAGGCCUUCGGGUUGUUAAAGGACUCUUUCUAGGUGGAAGAAA
rnacentral:rRNA from 1 species